GGGUUGUUGGUUUGGUGGAGGGAAGCUGGAGAUACAACGAGAAGCGGGGAGAUUGGGUGCUGGGGCAGUGCCAACGCCUCGCCCCUCCCCUUCACCGAGUCCGCCCCACAGCGUGGGAUUUUACAACCCAAGUACCUGGGAGGUGUUGAAGGGUGGAAGGACCGGCGGGCACGUUUCCUGGGGGGAGGGGCGCGCUAAUCGCGCUGGGGACUGAGAGCCAGAUUCCUUCUCUCUUGCCCUUGGCUCUGCGCUCAGACGCCGGCGUUUCCUCUCGCGGAGCACCUCGCCCCUGCCUCCCCUUCACCUACCCGCUUCUCUAGGUCAGGAAUUCUAACAGUUUGGAUAGGUGGUUCUGGCUUGGAGGGUUCUCUCAGGAGGUUGUAGCGAGAUGUCAGCUGAAGCCUUGUGAAGACUUGACGCAUCAUGGAGGAUCCAUUUCCAAGGGGUCAUUCACAUGGCUGGCACAAUUGACGCAGUACUUCUCAAGUUCCUUGUGGUUGGAAGGAGCCAUGACAUUAAUUCUGGCUAAUGAAAUAUGAGCAGAAGUAACAUAUAUGGGAUUCACCAGUUUCUCCUUUUUCUUCCACCACCUCCUUCUGGCCAUGUGUUCCAGAUGGUACGGCUACAAGCUGGUGGAAACUUCAUCUGCCUGAGUCCUUCAGUAAACUAUGUGGAACAGAGUUUUUAAUUCACAUGGAGUAUGGAUUGAGAAGAAGAAAUAAAUGUGUGUUAAUUCACUGA